rnacentral:misc_RNA from 1 species
AUGGCAGCUCCAUGUACCAAGGCUCUGUUGAACAAAGAAAAAGAAAAGAAGCAAAAUGAGAAGAAUACAAUACAAGAACAGAACAAUAUCAACUAUUGUAGAUAUAUAGGUAUUGGCAUAACAUCCACUAUAUCAAGCGGUCGUCAGCUAAUGUAGAUUGAAUAAAUUAACUUGUCCUUGUCCCUACAAGCUAACUGCAAUAAAUCCACUGGCAUUUGAGGUGGGGGCAUUGGAAGAGCAAAGUGAGCUAACCCACUGCAUAGCUCAAACCUCAACCAAGAUC